UAUAGCUGCAGAAACAUGAACUUAUAAAACGCACAACUACUCGUACCGUCACGGUGAGGAAUUAAUAUUCCAACACAGAAUACACUUGCAAAAGAAACU